CCUUGUUGAUCCUGCUAGUAGUCAAAUACUUGUCUCAAAGAUUAAGCCAUGCGUCUCAGUACACGCCGUAUUAUUAAAAAUCAGUUAUCGUUCCUUAGAUCAUAUCCACAUUUACUUGGAUAACUGUGGUAAUUCUAGAGCUAAUACAUACAAACUAGAGUUCCGACUAGAGAUGAAAGGAACGCUUUUAUUAUUAGAUCAAAACCAAUCGGUGGCUGGUCCAUCGUUUACUUUUAGUGACUCUGAAUAACUUUCUACUGAUCGCAUGGUCCUUGUGCUGACGACAAAUCUUCCAAAUGUCUGCCUUAUCAACUGUCGAUGGUAGGUUCUGCGCCUACCAUGGUUGUAACGGGUAACGGAGAAUCAGGGUUCGAUUCCGGAGAGUGAGCCUGAGAAACUGCUACCACGUCCAAGGAAGGCAGCAGGCGCGCAAAUUACCCACUCCCGCCACAGGGAGGUAGUGGCGAAAAAUAACGAUAUGGGACUCAUCUAAGGCCCCGUAAUCGGAACGAAUACACUUUGAAACCUUUAAUGAGGAUC